UACAGAGGGUGCGAGCGUUGUCCGGAAUCACUGGGCGUAAAGGGCGCGUAGGUGGUGGCUUAAGCGUGCGGUGAAAGCUCGGAGCUCAACUCCGAGUCGGCCGUGCGAACUGGGCUCACUGGAGCAUAGUAGAGGCAGGUGGAAUUCCGGGUGUAGCGGUGGAAUGCGUAGAGAUCCGGAACGAACACCGGUGGCGAAGGCGGCCGUGCUGGGCUCAUGGCUGACACUGAGGCGACGACGAGCGUGGGGAGCAAACAGGAUU
rnacentral:rRNA from 1 species